rnacentral:rRNA from 1 species
UACAGAGGUGGCAAGCGUUGUUCGGAAUUACUGGGCGUAAAGGGCGCGUAGGCGGCCAACUAAGUCGGACGUGAAAUCCCUCGGCUUAACCGGGGAACUGCGUCCGAUACUGGAUGGCUAGAGUGUGGGAGAGGGAUGCGGAAUUCCAGGUGUAGCGGUGAAAUGCGUAGAUAUCUGGAGGAACACCGGUGGCGAAGGCGGCAUCCUGGACCACGACUGACGCUGAGUGAGCGAAAGCCAGGGGAGCAAACGGG